UGUGGAGGCCUAUAGAGAUCUGGAGUGUGAAGUUGUUUGGCAUCCAGGGUUCAGCUCUCCAGAAGCAGGAGAAUUCAACUUGUGUGUGCGUAAAGGAAACACAGUUAAAUUGAAAUGUUGUGCAAAGCUUGGUACUACCAAAGUUCAGUUUAUGGAACAAAGAAUACCCUUCAGUCAUAGUCCAGUAGGUUUAUCUACUUGUAAGACAGCCACUCUUCAAAACAUAGGAUACAAUCAUGCAUACUUCCAAGUUCUUGAUUCAAACCCACUUCCUGAAAUGAUGAUCACCCCUUCUGAAGGGGUGGUACCUGUGGGAG
rnacentral:lncRNA from 1 species